GUUGAAGUUGUAGCCGCUGUCACACUCGCAGUGAUAGGAGCCCAUUGUGUUGAUGCAGCCGUGACCAGAGCACACCUGGUUGGGGCCUUUGCACUCGUCGAUGUCUUGAGCGUAAAGGUAGAAUCCUCACCAAUGCAGCUGCCCAGAGCGUCCUGGAUGAAACCAGCACCACAUUUGACCUUCGGGAGACAACGGAAUGACCCCUGGGUAUUUUGGCACUCAAACUCUGGACCACAGUUAUGGAUGCCUGUCUCGCACUCGUCAAUAUCUGGUGUUGGAGAACAAAGAGUCACAUGCUCCUUGGUCUUUGGCCAUGUUGAUGCCGGUGGUGCACAUGUUGUCCUCCAGCACGGCCAAACAGCACUGCUCCUGCACUGUCCUGUCAUGACAGAUACAAUACCUCAAUAGUUUUUACUCUGGGGCCACUGUAAGUGUUUUCCAAACUCUGCUCAUAGUUGGCAUUCCAAGACCACCGCUGUCUGUGACUUUUAAAACCCAAGAUUGAAAGAACAGAAGGGGCCUCUUUUGGUUAUUAUCAGAACGAGGCGAACCAGACACGCCGCUGUUGUUGUGAUGUAUUGUCUGCUGAUUUCCAUCUUGGAUGGGACCAGGGCGAGAUGAGCGAUGUGGGGGCCGCUCUCUUUUUUUUGGCAGGACGACACACGGCUCGCCUUCGUCUAGACGCCUCGUGUAAACAAGGCUUAAUGAGUUCAGUGGUGAAACACCAACCCGCGAGGAGAGACUGGAACCUACUGCAUCUCUCUAUAUGUCUAUCUAGCGGAUUUCAAAGAAAAUAUGGGAAUUGAACUCGUGUCAAAUGUGCCAAAUUGUCACUGCCUAUGCCAGGUAGCUGGUGCUGCCUUGUGACGACUUGUACAAGACUGGAAUGCCAUCCCACAGUGGUGUGUGACCAGGCUGUUUGGUAAAAGAAUCAAUUGCUGCUAGUGUGUCCUCUACAGCCGCCCCUUGUUUAAUGUGGUUAAUUGGUUCCAGACCCAAAAGCACUAAGUGAAUUUCCACUAUGUAGGAAACAUGGACAAUUAUAAAUAAGGCAAAAUAAAAUAAUUAAUAAGAACAUGCAAACUCCACACAGUGUGGCCACACAGCUAGGAGACCCAUGUUCGAUUCCCCGCUCCCGCUUUUCUCCA